rnacentral:rRNA from 1 species
AGCAGUCGCCGCGGGAAUACGUAGGGUGCAAGCGUUAAUCGGAAUUACUGGGCGUAAAGCGUGCGCAGGCGGUUAUAUAAGUCAGAUGUGAAAUCCCCGGGCUCAACCUGGGAACUGCAUUUGAGACUGCAUGGCUAGAGUGUGUCAGAGGGGGGUAGAAUUCCACGUGUAGCAGUGAAAUGCGUAGAUAUGUGGAGGAAUACCGAUGGCGAGGGCAGCCCCCUGGGAUAACACUGACGCUCAUGCACGAAAGCGUGGGGAGCAAACAGGAUUAGAUACCCCCGUAGUCCCUGUCUCUUAUAA